GGAGGAGUCGGCACAUCAUGGUCUGGGGUCUUCCACCCUGAGAUCUCGCUGUGGAUGAGACACUGGGGUGGGGUUCUAGGGCCUGCCCCCCCCACUCCCCGCCCACCUUGGAUCUGGACAUCUGUCAACUGCUGGCUUGGAGGUGUGUGGGUAGCGGCUCCCUCUGGGCCCCAGCACGGCGCAGAGGGCCGGUUAAACCUUCCCCUGAACUAGGUCACCUUGUCAGGAACAGUCACGGCCCCACAAGCAGCCAGACCUCAUGCAGAGCCGACCCAGCCCUGGGAAGCAUCUUGGACACAUGGCUCUUCUUCUCUGAAUAGCAUUUCCUCUCCAGGAGGGAUGCAUCAUCCCAGGAAAGAUGCCCAGGGCCUGGCACAGCGGCACUCAAGACACAUCUGUUAUCGCUGUCACGCCCGAGGCCUGGGAGGCCGCUGCUGCUUCCUGCGCUCCUCUGAGCAAGUUGCUGGACUCCAGGAUGCCCCUGGGCCCACAGGGAGGUCCGUGUGGGGGAACCUGAGGAUGCUGUUCCUGCUGGCUUUCCACCCUGGCAUGGAAUCCAGCAUCUCAAACUACAAUCCUCCUGCACCGUCGUCUCCCUGUGGAAAUGCGCAGCUUCUGGGGACAGGCAGAAGGAAGACAAAGCCACGGGACAUGCUGGUCCCAAGUUCCGGAUCCUGUCUCCAGACAUACAAGCCUCCGUGUGGAAAAGGAGGUGCCUGCGCAGUGCACGGCCUCGGACACUGGGACGAUGCUCCCAGCAUCCUCGGAGACAGGACCCCAGACCUCCAGAGGUGAGAGCUCCAGGCACACUAGGAUGUGGACCUGCACAAGGCGGCCGGGCAGGAGGGAGAUGCCCGGGUGUUUCCCGCUCAGGCUGUUUAUCUGCUGGACGACAGAACCUCCGUGCUCAGUGACCAGACAGUGUUGGCUCUUGGGAUUACUGCAGGUCAGUGACCCAGGCAGGGCUUGGCGGGAGGGGGGGGGCUUCCAGGAAGCUGAUGGGGGAGGCUGCAUGCUCAGCUGGGCUACGGUCUGGCUCAGAGGACUCCCGCACUCCUCCGGGCCUCAGCUUCCCCAGGAUGGUCCCCCGAGAUGGGACAAGAACGCAGCCACUGCCUGUUGCUGGAGCCUGGAGGCCGAUCACGUCUGUCUCAUUGGCCACACUGCACGGGCUGAAGGAGACCCAGAGCCCGGUGAUCUGGGGUUGAGGAAUGCAGGGCCCAGCCCUCUCCAGGGCACCGGUCAAAGGCGGGUCAGGUGUCUUUAACCCCUCCUAGUCCAGCUUCACCCCGCAGGCAGUGAGGAGCACGCCAGAGGGAGGAAACAUGGGGACUGAGCCUCAGGAGCUCCUGCCCUCGUCUGGGACAGACAUGUUCUGAGGGAAGUAGCGCCAGGACUGUGGGCAGCAGAGUUCGAAGAGUGCUGACCCUGGGUCCCCUCCGAGGAGGAGCGUGUGGCCCUCGGGCGCUCCCUCACGCGGCCCGGCGACUCCCGUCCCUGCUCUGGGGCUCCUCUCCUGCCCUCCGCCUCCUUGCGCCAGCCUUGGGGACCCCCCGUCCACGAGUGCGCUCCUUAUGGACCCCUCUUGGGUGUGGACCCGUCCUGGUCAUCUCAAUCGCUACCACUUGUGCCAGCACGUCCCCGUGCGCCUGGACGUCCCAGGCAGAGAGUGGCCCAGGCACUCGAGGACGCUGGCCGAGCCGGCUGAGGCUUCCCGAGUUACCCACACUCAGGAGAGGCUGGGCUGCGCCGGGACAGCAGCGGGAACCCGGCCCCGCUCGCCACGGCCUUGAAAACCCCGCUGUGUCCCGUGGCGUUUCCUCGCAGCCCACAGCCUCUCCGUUCUUCCUUGGGGGUCCGUGAGGCGCGGCUGGGGCUCAGCUUGGGGCUGAGUCCCAGGGCAGGUGCCCUGUUUCCUUCAGCCGUCCCGCUCCCUCCGUGGAGGUACGGCAGAGACAGCGAGUUAUUUACUUUCGGGCGACCAAGGAAUUAUGGACUUGUUUGACUGUUUCUGUGGAAUAGGUGUUCUACCGAAGAGGAAAUCCGAGAACAGAGCCCUCGGGGGGUACGGGGAAGCGGAGCCGCGCCUGCCUUCCCGAACUUGCACAAUGAGGGGUGGGGGUGGGGGUGGCUUCUGCGGGACCCGCUCAGCGAGGCUCCAGGCGCCCUGGGCCCCAGCCUCCCCCGCUGGGGGCCGCCCCAGAGAGCCACGAGCAACAAGCAAAGCAAAGGGGAGGCGGUUGGCGCUGUCCCAUCGCAGGGGCACCUCUGAAUCUCUGUUUCCCUGCAUACGGCGCCUGCCCCGUGUGUGCACCCUGGAGGUGUAGCUGUGGUGGAGGCCAGAGAUGGGUCCCCAUGUGGCUCGGGGAGGGGGGUGUGCUGAAGGGGGCCAUGGCCGCCGAAGUCUUCAGUGGUCACGCAGUUGGCCACCGCUGUUUUGUCACCAUACUUAGGGGGCAGAGGCCAGCUGGGGCUGAAGGGGUUAACACGGGGAGCUCUCGGGAUCCCCUGGUAGCCAGAGUCAGGCCUGAGUGGGGCCUGACCGCUCUUGAAUUCACACCCACCCUCCGGGCUGGAGCCUGGGUGCCGCCACUCUGUUCAGAUUUUCAGGGCAAUCCCCAAGUGUCUUCUAGCUCGAGAGCCUGCACCUGCUGACCCCCGACACAUGGGGCUGACACGUGGGAGACCUCAGGCAGCCCCACAGAAACGCCUCCUCGGGGGUUGGCGAGCCCGGUUCCGACUGGCCAUGAGGACACCUGAGGAUGACAGCGUGCCCGGUGGUCUGGGUGCGUGUGAAUCUGGGUUUUGUCUUCACGUCUGUCCCCACGAGAACAUACAAUGAAGCGCAACACAGUUCGGGGAACCUGGAGAGACGGACAGGCCUUUGCGCUCCUUCGUCUCUGGGAGGGCGUAUUUCUGAGCCCCACAACAAGCCUGCCCUGAGUUUAAUCUGGAAAAGUUGGGGCUCCCUAUGGGGUUCUGUUAAUUCAUCCCGAGGGAGUGGGGGGAACACAGGGUAAAAGCCUCUGCGUGGGGACAGACUGGGGGAGUCGGAGUCAGGGGAGAGCCCACGGCGGGGCGGGGACUGGAAAGGGCAGAGUUCCAUGGGGAUCAGGAGCUCGGACGGCAGGCUCCCAGCCUGGGCCCGUGGCUGUCCCCACACGGGCUUGGGCAAUGGAGUGGGGUGCCCAUGGUGACCACUGGUGCCAACCGAUGAUCAUCAGAUCUGCCCCAAUGGUCCCAAUUGCCUAGACUCUGGGGACUGCGCACUUCCUGGGGCAAAGCUGUUAGGCUGUGUCCAGAAAGUCUGACCACACACGUGCUAUGCACACCCCAUGACCCAGCCCUCCUGCUCCUCGACACACGGUCAUGAGGAAUCAGUGCCCGUACCCACCAAAACCCAUGAACAACACGACCCGCAGAUCAAACACCCUGUGGUCGAUGCAGCCAUGCAGACGGAGGGCACAUCGGCACCUGUGACGGCGUGGACAGGAGCCUCACCACGUCUGCCAUGCGUCGGGAAAGAAGCCAGAGUCUGGGCUGUGUGAUCUAUGCCCGUGUUCACGUGCAUGACCCAGAGCAGGUGACUUCAGGGACAGGACACAGACUGGUGGUCAUCGGGGAGGCGUCGGGUGGGGCUCUGGUUGAUGGAUGCACACGGAGGUGGUGGUUGGACCACAGAACUCCUCACUUUGAAAUGACUGGUUUGAUGUUGUAUGAAUUUCACAUACAUGAAAUUUGUAAAAAAAAAAAAAAAAAAUUGCUUGCACACGACUGCUUUACGCACAGCUGUGUCCCAAACCAGGACGGCCCGGAGGCCCAC
ensembl:lincRNA